AGUAGAAUAGCCGUGACACUGUACUUAGAAUAUUGCAGUUUGAAUGUUAUGAGUUUCUACAAGUAUUUUCAAAGCAUAAACCUUUUUAACUAUAUGGUACUUUAUGUUUCUUUCUGAUUGAAGAGUUUUGAUAUAGAACAUAAGCUACAGCUCAAUCAGCUGCAGCUAUGGCAUAAAAAAAAGUCAGGCGGACAUAUGUUCAAUUAAUGGUUUAGGAUCUCGAUCUUAAAAGGCCAGGAAAUCGUAAACCUCCUAGAAGACAGGAAUUUGAAGUAACAACGGAGGAAGUUCUCAGAAAAGCUGAUUUCCGGAAUGUUAGAUUCCUUGCAAAAUUCA